UGUCAUACCCAACCAGGUGGAUAACGCUAAAAAUAUUUCAUUUCCUUCAAUGGAAAACGUCCACAUAAGGCCAGAGCAUGGCUGUGUGGAAGGGCUUCUUGUUCUUUUUCUUUUGAAAACCACCUUACUUCUUUAUGGCAGAACUACUGAACUUAAACCCUUUAACUUCCUUUUAAAAGAUUUAUCUUUAUUGAUUAUCUAUAUAGAUGCAUGUGUUUGUCCAUUUGGCAUCUGAACAUCUCAGGAGGCCCGAAGAGGGCAUGGAGCUGCCUGGAGUUACAAGCAGUUGUGGGACAUAAACACUGGGAACUGAACUCAGCUCCUUUGCAAAAGCAGCAAGAGUACUUAACCCCUGGCCAUCUCUCUAGGCUAACUUCUUGCUUAUAGCUUGUGGAUGAUAUUAUAUUUAUCAUGACCUGUGUUAUGUUCUAUAUGGUUUUUGUUUCAUUUGUGAAUUGCUUCUAACUGCUUCUGAUUUAGUUAAACUCCAAACCAGAGACGACAAGUCAUAUUUUGCCCCACUUAAGCUAGAAUAGCUUCUGAGUGUGUGUGCGUGUACAUGCCUAUGCACGCUGCUGAGAUCAGAGAGGAUGUCUGCUCUAUCAAUCACCACCUCGUUCCCUUGAGACAGGGUAUUAUCUCACCAAGCCUGGAGCUGGACUGGCAGCUAGCAAACCCUUAUAAUUGCUAUUACAAGCCCUACACUGUCCUGGGGUUACAGGCACUCAAAGCUACACUCAGCUUUUUAUGUGGGUGCCGGCGAUUCAAACUGAUGCUCUCAUGCCUGCACAGCAAGUACUCUUAUUGACUGUACCAUCUCCCCCAUGCACUGGUUUUGAUAUUACUUGGUGAGAUAAUAAUGUGGACUGCUGAAGCAUCAAUAUAAAAAUAUGGUAAUGUAUCUUGGAAUAAUUCAGAGAGUCCUAGAUUGGUUUUAAAAUAGAUUCGGUGUAUAAUGGGCAGUGUGGAAAAUAUCAAUGUUCUUAUGAAUGGAUAUGAAAACAGGUCUGUUGUAAUAAUGAGGUCAGAGAGAAAUUAGAAGUUCAGCCUCAAAACUCAGGGUUUUGACAACAUUGAUGUCUGUGUUAAAAUGGUUGGAGAAAAUGUAUUCUGAUUCUGAUUUUGAGGCUUGAGCACAAGUUAAUUUUUAGGGACUAGAUACGUGCUUGUUCUGUGGGGAAAUGAAGAUAUGUUAGAAAUAAUAUUAAGGAAACAAUCUUUUUUUUUGAGAUAGUGCCUUAGUUUCUUCUUGCUGAUGUGAUCAAAUACUCUGACUAAAGCAACUUAAGGGAGAAAGGGUUAUUUUGGUGUAUGGUUCCAAGGUAUAAGACAUUAUGGAGGUAAAGCCACAGUGACCAGAGUGUAAGGUCUCAUAGCAUCCACAGUCAAGAAUCAAAGACAUACCAAGGUUCCAGCAUUAGCUCCUUGCUUCCAGUUUAUUCAGUGUAGCAUCCCUCCUCCAGGAAUGAUGGUGCUCACAGUGGGCAGGCCUUCCCAAUUCAGUUAACACAAUCAAGAUAAUCCCCCACAGGCUAGUCCAGAGGCUGGUCCUCAAGGUGAGUCUAGAUCCUGUCAAUUUGACAACACCAACCAUCAUAGAUACAUAGCUCCAUGAAAGCAAAACAAAACACAACACAACAGCCUCAAACUCAAUAGCAAAGCCCCCUAAACUGAAAGCACUCCAAACCAAGAUCUCAGAAAAAGCUCAUUUAAAAUUUUAGUACAGGUGGUUAGUCCAGUCAGUGAAGUGCUAAGAGAAUGGUAAUCUGAGUCUGAUCUAUGUUAAAAAUAAACAAACAAGCUGGUGUGGUGGUGCAUACUUGUAAUAUCGGUGCCUGAGAGGUUGAGAUGUGCAGACUCCUGGACUGCCUUGGCUGGCCAGCUUAGCCUACUUUGUGAACUCAAGGCUAGUGAAAGACCCUGUCUCAGAAAACAAGAUGGUGCUAGUGUGGUAGUGCAUCCAGUUAACUGGAGCAUUUGGGAGGCAGAGGAAAGUGGAUCUCUGAGAGUUUGAGGUCAGCCUGGUUUACAUAGCAGGCUUUGUCAGCCAAAGCUACAUAGUGAGGCCCAUCUUAAAAAGAGACC
rnacentral:lncRNA from 1 species